AGUGAACGCUGGCGGUAGGCCUAACACAUGCAAGUCGAACGGCAGCACAGUAAGAGCUUGCUCUUACGGGUGGCGAGUGGCGGACGGGUGAGGAAUACAUCGGAAUCUACUUUUUCGUGGGGGAUAACGUAGGGAAACUUACGCUAAUACCGCAUACGACCUACGGGUGAAAGCAGGGGAUCUUCGGACCUUGCGCGAUUGUAUGAGCCGAUGUCGGAUUAGCUAGUUGGCGGGGUAAAGGCCCACCAAGGCGACGAUCCGUAGCUGGUCUGAGUGGAUGAUCAGCCCCACUGGAACUGAGACACGGUCCAGACUCCUACGGGAGGCAGCAGUGGGGAAUAUUGGACAAUGGGCGCAAGCCUGAUCCAGCCAUGCCGCGUGAGUGAAGAAGGCCUUCGGGUUGUAAAGCCCUUUUGUUGGGAAAGAAAAGCAGCAGGUUAAUACCCCGCUGUUCUGACGGUACCCAAAGAAUAAGCACCGGCUAACUUCGUG
rnacentral:rRNA from 1 species